UACAGAGGGUGCGAGCGUUAAUCGGAAUUACUGGGCGUAAAGCGCACGUAGUCGGCUUUGCAAGUCGGUUGUGAAAUCCCCGGGCUCAACCUGGGAACUGCAUCCGAGACUGCAUUGCUAGAGUAUGGGAGAGGAAAGCGGAAUUUCUGGUGUAGCAGUGAAAUGCGUAGAUAUCUGGAGGAACACCGGUGGCGAAGGCGACAUCCUGGACCGGUAUUGACGCUGAGGCGCGAAAGCCAGGGGAGCAAACGGG
rnacentral:rRNA from 1 species